rnacentral:rRNA from 1 species
AGCAGUAGCCGCUGGAAUACGUAGGUGGCAAGCGUUGUCCGGAAUUAUUGGGCGUAAAGCGCGCGCAGGUGGUUUAAUAAGUCUGAUGUGAAAGCCCACGGCUCAACCGUGGAGGGUCAUUGGAAACUGUUAAACUUGAGUGCAGAAGAGGAAAGUGGAAUUCCAUGUGUAGCGGUGAAAUGCGCAGAGAUAUGGAGGAACACCGGUGGCGAAAGCGGCUCUCUGGUCUGUCACUGACGCUGAGGCUCGAAAGCGUGGGUAGCGAACAGGAUUAGAUACCCCUGUAGUCCCUGUCUCUUAUAU